GAGCGCGUAUUCGCCGGGCCCGGAGCUGGAAAGUUCAAACCGGACGUGUUGCUCGCGCCGCUGGCGGAGACCGCGGCGGAGGCUCUGCCCAAGUUCUCCGGCUGAGCGCCCGGCGGCGCCCUGCGCCCGCGCCCCGCCGCCUCCAGCCACGCUCCCGGCUCGGGCCCCGCGCCCGGCGACCGCAGCAAGACUUGAAUGCAGCGAUCAUCUAAAUUAGAGAAAGGAGAUAAAAAUAACCUCUGGAUAUUCCUCGUGUGAUAUUUAUUCUGGAUGAAGCAUUAAGAUCUCUACUAGAGGAGUAUCACUGCAGUUUGCUGCCAGACGUGUGCUUUGCUUCGAAAAGGCAAUAACUUCAAGCUCUUGUGGUGGAUAUAGAUUCUUGCUGCAAGGAAGUAACAGUAAGUGCUUAUGUUUAUGCAAUAACUUUUUAAAAACUACAACAUCUUAAUAUUUGGAACUCCAUUAUGCUUAAAUGCAUGAA